UGAACAGCCCUUCGUGUGCGCGGGCUAUGACAGUCAUGGACUGAUGACACCAGGCCAUGGAUUGGGCUUCUGCUACCGAUUGAUGAUACUGUCAGACAGCUUUUCUCUGCCUGGGUAAAGAUCACACUUGGUGAUGGCUCCAUUGCAAACUUUUGGAGAUGGGGGGAGGUCAUUGCAAGCGAAGCGGCAAAAUCCUCGGAUACAAGGCAAAUAAGAAGGAUGGUGUCCAACAGUGAGUCAGCUCGGUGGUCGAGGAGGAGAAAGCAAGCACGCACAAUUAACUGACCUCGAGUUGCAGGUACACAUCCUUGAUGCACUCUCUUCCUGCUGUUUUAUCAAAUGAAACUUAACUAUUUGUAGCCUUUUCUCCUCCUAAUGCCCAUGCCAUGAUGCAUCAUUGUUUCAAGCUUAUGACCAUCGACAUGUGCUAUCCUAAGUCCUGACCUAACAGGUCGAAUAACUUGAAAGUGAAACUGCAGCACUCUUUUAAGCAACUUAUGCAGGCCAACCAGCAGUUCACCACACUGCAGUCACGGAUAACAGGACCCUCACAUCAAAUGUAGAGACGUUAAGAAUCAAGGUAAAAAUGGUACUAGCGUAGUAUAUGGUUGGAAGAAGCAGAGUGUCCUGCGGCCUAGGGACAACUCCGGCUGGUAUCAUUUCUAAGCUCCAGUAAGAUGUGCCGAGCUUUGGACGUGCUCAUAGCCACAGGGUAGGAUUUCCCAGGGGACAGUGCAUGUUUCACAAGUCUAGCCCAAGGCCAACAAGUUCAGACUUCGACGGUGCAAAGCACUGUAAGUCUAGAGAGCCUGGAUAACCGGAUGUCUAGCAUGGUGACCAGCUGUUUGGUUGACAUUUGGCCUUAAGUUUCCCAGCCAAGCAGCACCUCCAAGUAAAUUAAUAGCAUACCUCACAAACUGCGAAGGUACUUAACACUGAA